CUGUCUGUUGUUCGUCCGUUUUUUUGAUCAAUGCAUUUAAGCAAUUUAUCAGAGAUUUGGACAAGUCGUGUGAAAGUUAUUGUUAUUAUUAUUAUUGUUUGGGACCAAAAAGAUAUCGGAGUCUAUAAGUUUCGUAAUGAGGAUCGCUUUUAUGUAUCUGAUUGUAAUUAGGAUAAUCAAUGUCGAAAUCGGCAGGAAUAGGUUUAAAUGGAGGUGCGUUUUCUAAUUGUUGCAAUUUCUAGAAGAAGAAGAGAAGAUUUUGAUUAGAAGUAAUAGCUUGUUUGAUCUGGAACCUAAUCCUUUUAAUUUGAUCCUUGAAUUCGUCUACCUCCCCUUUUCGUUAUUCAGCCGCGUUCUUAAAAAUAAAUUUGAUUGAUCGCUACACUCUUCGUCAGCGUAAAGGCCAAAUUCACUUUCGGAAAUUAUUAACAAUUAUUGCAAUUCCCAAGAAUCAACCCCGUACGCCUUUCGGCAGCGAAAGUACCCGUUCGCUACACUCUUCGUCAGCGAAAAGGACAGAUCGCUACGCUCUUUGUCAGUGAAAACUGCGAGUCGUAUCUCAGGAGUGAAUUUAUUGAUUAAGGAUUUAACAAAUACGAGAUGAGAUUCCAGAUUUCAAGCUUAUUCUUUUCUCAAACUUAUCUUACCUUUAUUCUUUCCCAGUAAGCAAGAAACAUCAAGGAACAUUUUAACUAUAUUGCAUUAACGUUACAACGUUGCUGCAACGUAGUUGAAAUGUUUCUUGAUGUUUCUUGCUUACUGAGUUAAGUCUUAGUACAAACUUAGUUACGCGUGAAACGCGGUCUUAAAAUACAAGAGUACCAGGGAUUAAGUCCCAGAAUCGAGCGCGAAUGCUCGGAAUUGAAUGUGCAGUCGAAUGUCGGAAAGUGACUGUCUGGAGUCGAAUAAGAGUUAGAAUUCAAAGUUAAAACAAUGUGCGUAGUCAAAAUUAAAGUCGCGAAUGAAGUGACAGAACCAGAGUCAAAAACUAUGUGUCGCUCCGCGGCGUUUUUCGCCCUAUUUAUACCCGAAAUAGCUGGAACUCCCCGCGUGAAAUUCUCACCACUUCUAACGCGUCUUAAGAACGUUCUCCGGCUCCAGUCGUACUUACUCAACUCGUAUUCAUGCUUAAAAAGAAAAUUUAUUUUACUGAAGUUAAUUGUUUAUUAUACACAAAAUAUUACAUAUAUCUAAUAACAUCUAAAAAAUAAGAAGUUAACUUCACGCGUGAGAACUCAUGCAGCGUUGCCAAGUAACUGACGCCUCUCCUCUUCUGUUACUCUGAACCGAGCGAAAAAAUCAUCAAAUCGCGUACUUUACACAAGUAUUUCUCAAAAACGAGUACCGCAAAAGUAUUGACACUUAUCACAUAUUAUUUCUAUUUUUAUGGAGCGUUUAGAGAAAACUUUUUUCACAAUUCAUUAUAAUGUCUGUUUCUCAAUAGCUCGGAAUAGAAAUCCCAUGUUAAAAGUUGAAACUUUGUUGAAGCUCAGUAUCUCGAUAUUUAAUACCGCAAAAGGUACUUUUAUACCACGCAUAAAGCACCUAAAUUAACGUAUAUUCAUAGUUUCAGAAAAUCUAGAGAAAAUCGGUUUUCCGAAGAACGUCCUUAAGGGGGGUGGUUUUCUAGAAGUUUCUAGAAGCGUAGUUUUGGGCCCCAUCUGGUCCUCAGUCUGUCAACCAGUCGUCGGAUAACCGAAAGAUAAACUAAACAUUUAUACUUGGAGCUGAGCGAUCGCUCGGAACUGUGAGCUAACGUGCGUCGUCUAAAACGUGUAAAGAAUUUUAAUGUGCGUCGUCCGAAAAUUUAGGAUAAAUUUUCCGUACGUAAUUUGAUAAUUAAAUAUUUACUUUUUUGCUAAAAGAUAAUUGCAUGCGUGCGCGCACGCGUGUGUGCGUGUGCGUAGAUGUGCGUAGAUGCGUGUGUGCGUGUGUGUGUGUGUGUGUGUGGCGCGCGCGCGCAUGUGUGUAUACAUAUACGGGAUGUUUUCUAUCAAAUCACAAACGAACAAAUAUUUAUACAUACAAAUACACGUGUAUACACACGUACAUACAAACGCACACACGUAGAGGCAUUCUACAUUCACAAAUUCACUCGCAUAUGUAUCUCUUACACUUAAAGGAAGGCAUCAGUCCAAAUAUACAGCACACGAUAUUCUAAGGAUAUUUAUGUUCGGAAUGUCUAUGAACGUCAUGUGGAUAUCCAUAGGACAUCGGUGCUGUCUGUGAGAAUCAUAUACUACAACACGCACAUCUCAGGACGAAACAAGCUGGAGUUGACCAACGUCACUUGUCUAUAAAGAACGUUCGAGGUUCCUUAUGUAUCAAAAAUUUUAUAUUUUUAUGCUUUCCAUGUACAUAUUUGUAAAAGAAGGAUGAUAUCUGUACAAAGCAUACCUUUUUCAAAAAAAGUUACAAAACGCGCCAAGUGUACGUGCUUCAUACAAAAUCUGUACAGAAAAAAAUUUUGAUCUAAUUUGGUUUUAUAGUUACAUAUUUUUUAUUACAAAAAUAAUGAUAUCAAAAGGUGUACACAACCUGUACUAUUUUUUUAUUAUUUAUAUUUACACACAAAAGAUACUUCGCGCCAAGUGUUUCUUAUCAUAUUUAUUUGGCGCAAACCUUCUGAUGUUAUUGUUUUUGUAGCAAAAAAAAACAAAUGGCAUUACAAAACCAAAUUAGAUUAAAAUUUUCUCUCUUUGAUAAAGGUGGUGUAAUGGAGCACGUAUACUUGGCGCGUUUUUUAUCUUUCUUGGAAAAAGGUAAGUUUGGAGAUCUAUAUGCGAGAUCUGGUAAUUAGGAAAAUUCCAAUUAUAUAUCCGUAUAAACGUACAUCCUAAUAAAUAAACUAUGUCUCUUCUUUA